rnacentral:rRNA from 1 species
AUGGCCAAUAAGAUGAAGAACAUGAGAGAGCAGUUGAAGGGGAUCACAGAAGACCGCAUUCCUUUCACUUUCAUGCAAGAAACUGCCCCUCGCGUGCAGGAAGUCUGUUACAACCGGGAAACAACAGCGGCUGUGACGGAAGCACGAGUCGUAGGGAGGGAUAAGGAAAAACUGGAAAUCAUGGCUCGUUUGUCUGGGAGCAUCACAAAAGAGAUCACCAUCCUUCCGAUAUAUGGUAUUGGAGGCAUUGGGAAGACAACCAUGGCACAAUUAGUUUUCAAGGAUUCGGAGUUCAAAGAGUACUCUCGGGUGUGGGUCUAUGUGUCCGAGACAUUUGAUUUGAAGAAAAUUGGGAAUUCUAUAAUAUCACAACUAUCCAAUAGCAAUAGUCAGUAUACCGACCUUCAGAUGAUAGAAAAUAACCUUCAAACGCACCUUUCUGUUAAAAGCGUACUAAUCAUCUUAGAUGACCUGUGGGAGAGGGAACCGCAUCAGUUAGAAAGGUUGAAGACUAUGCUAGAGCUGGGUGAAGGGAGCAAAGUAGUGGUGGUAGUAACCACACGAGAUGAAUAUAUUGCACAAAAAAAUCAGACGGUGGGGCCAUAUAAGCUAGCUCCCUUGACAGAUGACAUUUGUUGGACUAUCAUAAAAGAUAAAACUUCCUUUGAAGCUAGAACUGACAGAGCGCUGUUAGAGCUGGUCGGGAUGGACAUUGCAAAGAAGUGUGCAGGCUUGGCUUUAGCAGCCCGGUCUAUUGGGUAUAUGUUGGACUCUAUGGAAUUUGAUGAAUGGGUGUCGGUGAACAACAGUGAGUUGUGGGACGUGCUUGCCUCAGAAGGAUAUUCACCUCAUCAUGUGCAUGCAUCCUUGCUACUAAGCUAUCGCAGUAUGAGUUCAUACUUGAAGCUAUGCUUUGGCUAUUGUGCAAUCUUCCCAAAAGGUCACUUUAUAGCUAAAGAAGUUCUAGUUCACCAAUGGAUUGCUCUUGGACUUGUGGAGCCACUGAGGGCACUCUCUAAUAAAUAUAGCAGUGAUAAAUAUAUUAAUCAGCUUUUAGGCAUGUCCUUCCUUGAACAACCAAAGUUGCCAUGGGUGAGUUACUGCACACCUUUGUGGGAAUGUUCAACUGUUUUCUUCAACUUAUGGAAAUGCAGAUCAUAUGGUGCAUAUUCUCCUGAGAAUUUUGCCAACACCACCAUUUUGUUGGGAUAA